UAAUAAUUAGUGUAAAGGCACAUUUCAAUUUGAAUGAAAGAGAAGUAGUGUAAUUCUACUACUAUUAA
rnacentral:tRNA from 1 species